rnacentral:misc_RNA from 1 species
GGGGAUGAACUAAUGAAUGAAUUAACAAAUGAAGUAUUACAGCUUCUUCUUCUGAUUAAUCCUACAAGAAUAUAUAAUGGAGUAAUUAAAUGAAAAUUCUCAGAACAGGAGAUGCAAUUGGCGAUAACUUGAAAUCAACAACAUUAUCAUCACGAGGAGUUAAGUUUAAGUCCAAACAAAAAAUCCUCUUGCUGCUAUUCGACUUCGUCAACACUGGUAUUAUCGUUUUAUUAAUUUCAUCGCGAUGACGCCUCAUGUGCCCUCCCAAUGCUUGACCUAAAGAAAACUCCACACCACAAAUAGAACAUUUAUGCAUCUUAUUCUUUUUGUUGGUUUCAAUAACAAACUCUCCCAUCAAUUUUGGCUUUUUAUUAUGACUUGCACGGUGACCGCCUAAGGCUUGAAAAGAUGGGAAGCGUUUAUUACAAGUCUUGCAUUCAAAAUCAUUAAUAUGAUGAUGAUGAUCUGAUGACGAUGAACAAGUGUUGUUGUUGAAACGAGACAAAAGCAUUAAGGCGCAGUUAGCCAUGGCCUCUGCUUCAAUUUGCAUAUUCUCUUCUCUGCUUCUUUUCAUAGAUGUCAUAUUAUCAAGAAAGAC